rnacentral:misc_RNA from 1 species
AAGUCGUAACAAGGUUUCCGUAGGUGAACCUGCGGAAGGAUCAUUAACACGUAUCCAACGUUAAAACAACCCUGUGAACCUUCAAUCUUGCUCGCGUGGCUCCAUGAAAGCAGCAAUCCCUGGUAAAUCAUUGUCGACCAGACCUCUGCCGAUGAGAGUUACGAUGCAAGCGACCUGGCACCCCCAAGCAAUCAGAGUUCUGAAAGCGUCUUUGAUUGUGUAAGGGUUGGCGCAAACACGAUCGGCCGACACGGCCGACGACCGGGUCCCUGGGUCACAUGCCCCUUAAUCACCACACUGUAACGCCGACAGGUCGCGAUAAUUCCGCUGACCACAAAAAACCGAACAACUGGUAACAAUGGAUAUCUUGGUUCUC